rnacentral:misc_RNA from 1 species
UGGUGAAGCUCCCCUACCUCCAGGCCGUCAUAAAGGAGACUCUUCGCCUCCGCAUGGCCAUCCCCCUCCUCGUCCCCCACAUGAACCUUCAUGAUGCCAAAUUAGGUGGAUUUGACAUUCCGGCCGAGAGUAAGAUUCUGGUCAACGCCUGGUGGCUGGCCAACAACCCAGACCAGUGGGUGCGACCAGAGGAGUUCAGGCCGGAGCGGUUUUUGGAAGAGGAGGCUAAGGUGGAGGCCAAUGGUAAUCACUUCCGCUACUUGCCAUUCGGGGUCGG